UCUUAGUAGUUUAUAAUUACUAAAACCUUAAUUGUGAAAUUAAAAAAGAAUCUAAGAU
rnacentral:tRNA from 1 species